rnacentral:rRNA from 1 species
GGGAAAUUGCGGGCCUGGCUUUACACAUGCAAGUCGAGCGGUAAGGCCCUUCGGGGUACACGAGCGGCGAACGGGUGAGUAACACGUGAGCAACCUGCCCCUGACUCUGGGAUAAGCCGUGGAAACGCGGUCUAAUACCGGAUACGACACCUUGCUGCAUGGCGGGGUGUGGAAAGUUUUUUCGGUUGGGGAUGGGCUCGCGGCCUAUCAGCUUGUUGGUGGGGUAACGGCCUACCAAGGCGAUUACGGGUAGCCGGCCUGAGAGGGCGACCGGCCACACUGGGACUGAGACACGGCCCAGACUCCUGCGGGAGGCAGCAGUGGGGAAUCUUGCGCAAUGGGCGAAAGCCUGACGCAGCGACGCCGCGUGGGGGAUGACGGCCUUCGGGUUGUAAACCUCUUUUACCACUCACGCAGGCCGGGGGUUUUCUCCCGGUUGACGGUAGGUGGGGAAUAAGGACCGGCUAACUACGUGCCAGCAGCCGCGGUAAUACGUAGGGUCCGAGCGUUGUCCGGAAUUAUUGGGCGUAAAGAGCUCGUAGGCGGCGUGUCGCGUCUGCUGUGAAAGACCGGGGCUUAACUCCGGUUUUGCAGUGGAUACGGGCAUGCUAGAGGUAGGUAGGGAGACUGGAAUUCCUGGUGUAGCGGUGAAAUGCGCAGAUAUCAGGAGGAACACCGGUGGCGAAGGCGGGUCUCUGGGCCUUACCUGACGCUGAGGAGCGAAAGCGUGGGGAGCGAACAGGAUUAGAUACCCUGGUAGUCCACGCCGUAAACGUUGGGCGCUAGGUGUGGGGACUUUCCACGGUCUCCGUGCCGCAGCUAACGCAUUAAGCGCCCCGCCUGGGGAGUACGGCCGCAAGGCUAAAACUCAAAGGAAUUGACGGGAAAGGCCCGCACAAGCGGCGGAGCAUGUUGCUUAAUUCGACGCAACGCGAAGAACCUUACCAAGGUUUGACAUCGCCGGUAAACCGCCAGAGAUGGUGGGUCCUUCGGGGAUCGGUGACAGGUGGUUUGCAUGGCUGUCGUCAGCUCGUGUCGUGAGAUGUUGGGUUAAGUCCCGGGCAACGAGCGCAACCCUUGUUCCAUGUUGCCAGCACGUAGUGGUGGGGACUCAUGGGAGACUGCCGGGGUCAACUCGGAGGAAGGUGGGGAUGACGUCAAGUUUCAUCAUGCCCCUUAUGUCUUGGGCUG